GUAUAAGAGACAGCAGCAGCCGCGGUAAUACGUAGGGUGCAAGCGUUAUCCGGAAUUAUUGGGCGUAAAGAGCUCGUAGGCGGUUUGUCGCGUCUGCUGUGAAAACUGGAGGCUCAACCUCCAGCCUGCAGUGGGUACGGGCAGACUAGAGUGCGGUAGGGGAGAUUGGAAUUCCUGGUGUAGCGGUGGAAUGCGCAGAUAUCAGGAGGAACACCGAUGGCGAAGGCAGAUCUCUGGGCCGUAACUGACGCUGAGGAGCGAAAGCAUGGGGAGCGAACAGGAUUAGAUACCCCAGUAGUCCCUGUCUCUUAUAC
rnacentral:rRNA from 1 species